ensembl:lncRNA
AAGAAACUUGCAGAGGUCCCUGGAGGUCACUGAUGCUGGCAGGUCUGACGGUGGCAGAGGGAGGAUCAGUGUGUUACACAGCAAAUUUGUGGGGACCAAUAGCCCAUAGGCAAGGAGUUUAUUUAUUAGAGGCUGUAGUCCUUCCAAAAGCAGAGACAUUACUUUGCCAACAAAGGUCCGUCUAGUCAAGGCUAUGGUUUUUCCUGUGAUCAUGUAUGGAUGUGAGAGUUGGACUAUGAAGAAGGCUGAGCACCGAAGAAUUGAUGCUUUUGAACUGUGGUGUUGGAGAAGACUCUUGAGAGUCCCUUGGACUGCAAGGAGAUCCAACCAGUCCAUUCUGAAGGAGAUCAGCCCUGGGAUUUCUUUGGAAGGAAUGAUGCUAAAGCUGAAACUCCAGUGCUUUGGCCACCUCAUGCGAAGAGUUGACUCAUUGGAAAAGACUCUGCUGCUGGGAGGGAUUGGGGGCAGGAGGAGAAGGGGACGACAGAGGAUGAGAUGGCUGGAUGGCAUCACUGACUCG